CUACGGGCGGCAGCAGUGAGGAAUAUUGCACAAUGGAGGAAACUCUGAUGCAGCAACGCCGCGUGGAGGAUGACGCAUUUCGGUGUGUAAACUCCUUUUAUAUGUCAAGAAAAUGACGGUAGCAUAUGAAUAAGCACCGGCUAACUCCGUGCCAGCAGCCGCGGUAAUACGGAGGGUGCAAGCGUUACUCGGAAUCACUGGGCGUAAAGGACGCGUAGGCGGGCUUGUAAGUCAGGUGUGAAAUCCUACAGCUUAACUGUAGAACUGCACUUGAAACUACGAGCCUAGAGUAUGGGAGGGGGAGAUGGAAUUAGUGGUGUAGGGGUAAAAUCCGUAGAUAUCACUAGGAAUACCUAAAGCGAAGGCGAUCUCCUGGAACAUAACUGACGCUAAGGCGUGAAAGCGUGGGGAGCAAACAGGAUUAGAUACCCCGGUAGUC
rnacentral:rRNA from 1 species